AUCAAGAGAAGCAUGAAGCACUAGAUUGGGGACGUGCAUCGAAUUCUAGGAAUCGAUCCCAUGAUUGAGGUGAUUACAAUUGCUUCCACAAAUCCUAGAUUAGGAAUAAAUGAUAUUAGGAGGAUUAGUUUAGAUUUGGGAUGUGCACCAGAAUCUUGGCCAUUGGUUAAGCAGAUCUGAGGUCUUAUCUAUGAUGUAGAUAUUUUAUUAUAUGAUUAAUUUUGAGUGGGCCCCAUAAGUUUGGGGACCCUUCAGAUGCUUGAGUUUUAAAUAAUAAUUUGUAUGUCUUAGAUAUAAAUCUAAUCUUUGAUUAUAAUUAUCUAGAUCUUGCAUAGCAUACCUUUAUGAUAAUUGUAUCUUGCAAGCUAAGGUAAGUUCCUCUAUCCAAUAUUUGAUUACAUAUAUAUGAAUUGAUUGUCUUUGCAUAAGUUGAUAGAAAAAUAUUAAUUAAACUUAAUAAUGAAUAAUAUCUAUGUAUAUUUUGAAUUAUAUUAUGCAUGUUCUAUAUAAGUAAAUUUUGAACAAUUGGAUUAAGUAUGAAUUAAAAAUUUCGUGAGCAUGAACUAUCCUACUUUACUAUUUUAAAACGUUGUUGAAUUUAUUGAUUGUGAUC
rnacentral:lncRNA from 1 species